rnacentral:rRNA from 1 species
CUAUGACGGGUAUCCGGCCUGAGAGGGUGAUCGGACACACUGGAACUGAGACACGGUCCAGACUCCUACGGGAGGCAGCAGUAGGGAAUAUUGCUCAAUGGGCGCAAGCCUGAAGCAGCAACGCCGCGUGGAGGAUGAAGGUUUUCGGAUUGUAAACUCCUUUUGUUAGAGAAGAUAAUGACGGUAUCUAACGAAUAAGCACCGGCUAACUCCGUGCCAGCAGCCGCGGUAAUACGGAGGGUGCAAGCGUUACUCGGAAUCACUGGGCGUAAAGAGCGCGUAGGCGGGAUAGCAAGUCAGGUGUGAAAUCCUAUGGCUUAACCAUAGAACUGCAUUUGAAACUACAACCCUAGAGUGUGGGAGAGGUAGGUGGAAU